UUGGUUCUACAAGAGUUAUUUCACAGGAGUUUUUAUUUCCAUCUAUCAGGUGCUAUUCCCUAUAUAGUUUCCAUAUUGCAGUCGUUUCUUUACAGCUAUGACAGAACACAAUGUCAAACUCAACUGAUGAUCUCAAAGUCCCCAUGGACCACAGCCAUGUAUGGACAGGAAAGACAUACAUUUUUGUGUCACGGGGGCUCUUUAUUUCGCCCUCCCACCCCCGCCCAACUUGGCAGCCCAGGAUGAGGAUGGAAAUUUGAAAUGAACAUGAGAAUAGAAUUCCAGCUCGGUGACACAGAAAAAUAAGGAUGAAGGGAAAUGAUGAGCUCCGUUUUAAUGUAUUAUUUAGAAACCUCUCACUGCUGACAUGAAGCUGUUCUGAGUACCGACAAGGUGUGACAACAGGAAGUGCAACGAUGGGCAGAAACAGGGUCUCCUUAUGUCAUCCAGGCUGGAGUGCAGUGGUAAUUCACAGGCACAAACAUAGCGCACCGCAAUCUUGAACUCCUGGACUCAAGCACUCUUCCCACCUCAGCCUCCCAAGUACCUGGGACUACAGGCACAAGCAACCAUGCCCCAAAAUCUUUUGUUCUUUAACCCAGGGGUUUAAAUGCUGCUAUGCAGCCACUCACUCGACAAAUGAUUGAAAUAUAUAUAACUACAAAGAAAACCAUCACAAGACGCUUUGAUGGCAGUCAUCAACAGCCAGGCUGAGGCUGUUCUUGGAGUGGUGUAGAUCAGGAGUUCUGAAAACAACAACAACAACAACAACAACAAUAACAACAACAACAACAACGUAUGGUCAACUGAUGAGACUCAGAAUCUCUGUGGGCCAAGAAGUGAGACUGUGAGUGUCCUUGAAUACCUAAAUGUUUUCUGCUUUGACACUGGUGUGACUUUAGCCCCACGACCAUUCCUUCUCUCUUUUCUUGGCAAUCCUCCCGUGAACUUAGUGCUCACCCAUGUUGAUAAAUCUAAAUUGCUCAACCAAAGGCUUCCAAAUCACAAGAAUAAUUCCCCCCUAUUCUGAGACCCAUCUUUGAUGAACCGUUCCUGAAACUAAUGGAGAUUUAGUGGUUCACUCUUUCUCAAGCAUUAUAAUGUCAUUUUAUUUCUUCACCCUCUCACACACGUGUCCUUCCUGCCUCAGUGUCAACCUAGAGUGCUCUCUCGCCUGCCUCCACUCUCCAUUGUCUUUAACUCCUCCUCAUUCUUCAGUCUGAAGAUCUAAAAGUUCUCAUCCUUAGAACAGCCACCCUGAACCCCUUUGUAUGCUCUUUUCCUUAUAACACAUAUACUAAUUUGCAAUGAUCUUUCAGUGUGAUUAUUUGAUGACUGUCUUUCCUCCGUAAUAAACUCUACACUUCACAAGGGUGAGGACUGAAUCUGGUUUGCUCCUAUUUUAUCCCCACAAUGCUUGCAUGUAGCAGCUUCUUGUAAAGUGAUUGUUGAAAGGUUAAAGAAUGAAAUGAACAAAAUGAUGUGAAUUAAUUCAUUCAUAACAGUAGUCAGGAAUGAUUUCAUCAAUGGAACCGGAAGAUUUCAAUGACAUAAACUACAAAUGUCUGCUUGUCUCUGCAGCAGGGGUGCUUUGACUCUGGGUUUCAUUUACAGCUAGUGAAACUUAGUGGACAUUUAAUUCCUCUCUGAAACAUUCUUUUUUAAAAGAUAUGUUAAUAUAUAUAAUUAGAUAUCCAUCAGAUCUCAUUGAUCUGAGAUUACACUAUCUUGUUCAUGACGAAGAAGGAAGAGAAAGGAGAGGGAAGCAAGGAAGAAGUGACUUUCAUAAUGAGAAAUAUAGAUAGUAGAACAAAAUAUACUGACUUACUUGUAUUAUUUUGGAAGUAAUUUGACUUAGUUCACUUAUGCAUCCAGAGUUACCAUACCACAGAAUGGCCAAGAGGAUCUGAAUUUUGCCUGAUUAUGCAUGGCCUCGAUUAGUGUGUGAUGUGUUUUUAAUACCCUUUUAGAAAGAAAAUUGUAAGCUGUCAUAACAUGACUCUAACUGGAAAGAUAAUGUCAAACCUUCUUAGAAAACACUGUAGGAUAUUUCAAUUCUCUUAGCAAGAAAGAGCACAAAUUUAAUUAUGGAUCAAAAUGCCUUCUGCAUCAAGUGGAGAGAGGUGGUUAUUGGAAGUCCUGUGGUGCUUCUUAUUUUUCAAUAUGACAGGAAACUAGAAACCCAAAUAUCCAAGUGAUCCAAUUUAUAUUUGUUCCCAUGGUUUCUAAUAUGUAGUAGUACCUCAUGCAGUUCUAUUUGAAAACAAAAAAGGUUAAUGAAUUUCUUGACAAUAUGCAAAUAUAUUUACGCCUAAGUUUAUGGUCUCAGACAACACCCACAAACACACAUAUACAUGACCCAUGGGGUACUAGUAGUUUAUUGCCAAUACCACUCUUACUAACAGUGUGGUAACACAUUGUAACAUAUUAUUUGAUUGUAUUGUUCCUGGAGUUUCAAAGGCCUAGAAAUAGAACCUUCCAUGAUAUCAUCACAUGCUAAACCUGGAGAGGAAAGCAAAUAUCAGGACAGUGAAUCUUCUUUCCCUCCUCUUUCUGAACUCUAGCCCUGUAGACUGAAGCCUAUUCUCAGCAUUGCCACCAUCCACUGUUUUCCUGUGUAUAACCUUUAAUUAAUGGAAGCGAUUUUCACCACAUUGAAGGUUUUCUAUCCUGGAUUACCAAGAAAAAUAAUGCAAGCCCACUUUCCCGUUAAUCACAUAGCCAAAACAUGGAGGCCAUUGAUAAGUGAUAGCUCUUCAGUCACUCAACCACUAUCUGCUUCAGAAAUAAGGCUAAUGAUAUAGUCUACAUUCUUCAUUAGACUGAAAUAACUGAUAUAAAAUAGUUAUUGGGUAAUUUUUUGAGUUCAGUGAGUAAAAAUUCAAUCCAAAAGUAACAUUGUUAGCUUUACUUAGGGUUUUUUUUCUCAUGACUCGGAAUACUUAAGAAUAUAUAUCUGAACAAUAUUGCAUUAUGAAAAUAUUUUUAUACCUAAGUUUUUAAGUUUGAAAGGAAGUUACUUAUCAACUUGCUCUGAUGACUAUCUUUAGAGUAGGCAGAAUAGCCUCCCAAAGAUGUCCACUUAAUGUCCAGAACCUGUGAAUGUUACCUUGCAUGGAAAAAAGACUUGCAGAUGCAAUUAAGUUUUUAGACUUUACAAUAGGGACACUAUCUCGGAUUAUUUGAGUGGGCCUAGUGUAAUCACAUGAACCU
rnacentral:lncRNA from 10 species